CGGUGAAAUCCGUUCUUACGAACGGGUGAAAUUGCACUGACGCGCAGUGAAAUAUUGCUUGCGCAAUGUGAAAUCCGCC
rnacentral:sRNA from 1 species